rnacentral:rRNA from 1 species
GACGAACGCUGGCGGCGUGCCUAAUACAUGCAAGUCGAACGCAGUGGGGACGGGUGAGUAACACGUGGGUAACCUCCCAUCAGAGGGGAUAACCCUUGGAAACAGGUGCUAAACCGAUACUGAUGGAUGGACCCGCGGUGCAUUAGCUAGUUGGUGAGGUAACGGCUCACCAAGGCCACGAUGCAUAGCCGUCGUGAGGGGGUGACCGGCCCACUGGGGACUGAGACACGGCCCAGACUCCGACGGGAGGAAGCAGUAGGGAAUCUUCCGCAAUGGCCUAAAGUCUGACCGAGCAACGCCGCGUGAGUGAAGAAGGUUUUCGGAUCGUAAAACUCUGUUGUUAGAGAAGCGGUAUCUAACCAGAAAGCCACGGCUAACUACGUGCCAGCCGCCGCGGUAAUAC